rnacentral:lncRNA from 1 species
ACACCGAUGCCCGCCCUUCCCUCGCUGGCUCCUAGGCGGCCUCCCUAGAAGCGGCAACUGAGAAGGCACAGCACCGGGACCACCCCAUCCCUGAUGGAGAGCUCCCCUCGCUCCCCAAAGGCUGCAAAGAAGGCGCGCCCCAGAGACAGGAUCUCCCUAUGUUGCCCAAGCUGGUCUCAAACUCCUGGACUCAAGCAAGCCUCCUACCUCGGCCUCCUGAAGUGUUGGGAUUACAGGCAUGAGCCACGGUGCACAGCAAGAGCUUUAACCUUAAUGACCAUUCAUUCUCUACCCCACAUUACCUACAACUGAUACAGCAUGCGAAGAGGGUCUUUGCUUACCCUUCACCUUCCACCAUGAUUGUAAGUUUCCUGAGGCCUCCAAGCCAUGAUUCCUGUUAAGCCUGC